rnacentral:rRNA from 1 species
GGGAAUUUUCCGCAAUGGGCGAAAGCCUGACGGAGCAAUACCGCGUGAGGGAAGACCGCCUAUGGGUUGUAAACCUCUUUUUUCAGGGAGGAAUAAAUUGACGUGUACCUGAAGAAUAAGCAUCGGCUAACUCCGUGCCAGCAGCCGCGGUAAGACGGAGGAUGCAAGUGUUAUCCGGAAUCACUGGGCGUAAAGCGUCUGUAGGUGGUUUAAUAAGUCAACUGUUAAAUCUUGAGGCUCAACUUCAAAAUCGCAGUCGAAACUAUUAGACUAGAGUAUAGUAGAGGUAAAGGGAAUUUCCAGUGGAGCGGUGAAAUGCGUAGAUAUUAGGAAGAACACCAAUGGCGAAAGCACUCUACUGGGCCACAACUGACACUGAGAGACGACAGCUAGGGGAGCAAAUGGGAUUAGAUACCCCAGUAGUC